ACUCCUACGGGAGGCAGCAGUGGGGAAUAUUGCACAAUGGGGCGCAAGCCUGAUGCAGCCAUGCCGCGUGUAUCGAAGAAGGGCCUUCGGGUUGAUGAAAGUACUUUCAGCAGUGAGGAAGGUAGUGUAGUUAACUAGCUGCAUUAUUUGACGUUAGCUGCAGAAGAAGCACCGGCUAACUCCGUGCCAGCAGCCGCGGUAAUACGGAGGGUGCGAGCGUUAAUCGGAAUUACUGGGCGUAAAGCGCAUGCAGGUGGUUUGUUAAGUCAGAUGUGAAAGCCCGGGGCUCAACCUCGGAAUUGCAUUUGAAACUGGCAGACUAGAGUACUGUAGAGGGGGUGAGAAUUGAUCAGGUGUAGCGGUGAAAUGCGUAGAGAUCUGAAGG
rnacentral:rRNA from 1 species